GACGAACGCUGGCGGCGUGCUUAACACAUGCAAGUCGAACGAUGAAGUUCCUUCGGGAAUGGAUUAGUGGCGAACGGGUGAGGAACACGUGAGAAACCUGCCUUUCAUUUUGGGAUAACUCCGGGAAACCGGGGCUAAAACCGAAUACUCCGUCUCGGCGGCAUCGCUGAGCCGAGAAAAAAUUUUGAUGAAAGAUGGUCUCGCGGCCUAUCAGCUAGUUGGUGAGGUAAUGGCUCACCAAGGCAACGACGGGUAGCCGGCCUGAGAGAGCGACCGGCCACACUGGGACUGAGACACGGCCCAGACUCCUACGGGAGGCAGCAGUGGGGAAUAUUGGGCAAUGGGCGCAAGCCUGACCCAGCGACGCCGCGUGAGGGAUGAAGGCCUUCGGGUUGUAAACCUCUUUCAGUAGGGAAGAAGCGAAAGUGACGGUACCUAAAGAAGAAGCACCGGCUAACUAUGUGCCAGCCGCCGCGGUAA
rnacentral:rRNA from 1 species